GACGAACGCUGGCGGCGUGCUUAACACAUGCAAGUCGAACGGAAAGGCCCUGCUUUUGUGGGGUGCUCGAGUGGCGAACGGGUGAGUAACACGUGAGUAACCUGCCCUUGACUUUGGGAUAACUUCAGGAAACUGGGGCUAAUACCGGAUAGGAGCUCCUGCUGCAUGGUGGGGGUUGGAAAGUUUCGGCGGUUGGGGAUGGACACGCGGCUUAUCAGCUUGUUGGUGGGGUAGUGGCUUACCAAGGCUUUGACGGGUAGCCGGCCUGAGAGGGUGACCGGCCACAUUGGGACUGAGAUACGGCCCAGACUCCUACGGGAGGCAGCAGUGGGGAAUAUUGCACAAUGGGCGGAAGCCUGAUGCAGCAACGCCGCGUGCGGGAUGACGGCCUUCGGGUUGUAAACCGCUUUCGCCUGUGACGAAGCGUGAGUGACGGUAAUGGGUAAAGAAGCACCGGCUGACUACGUG
rnacentral:rRNA from 1 species